GACGAACGCUGGCGGCGUGCCUAAUGCAUGCAAGUUGAGCGCUGAAGGUUGGUACUUGUACCAACUGGAUGAGCAGCGAACGGGUGAGUAACGCGUGGGGAAUCUGCCUUUGAGCGGGGGACAACAUUUGGAAACGAAUGCUAAUACCGCAUAAAAACUUUAAACACAAGUUUUAAGUUUGAAAGAUGCAAUUGCAUCACUCAAAGAUGAUCCCGCGUUGUAUUAGCUAGUUGGUGAGGUAAAGGCUCACCAAGGCGAUGAUACAUAGCCGACCUGAGAGGGUGAUCGGCCACAUUGGGACUGAGACACGGCCCAAACUCCUACGGGAGGCAGCAGUAGGGAAUCUUCGGCAAUGGACGAAAGUCUGACCGAGCAACGCCGCGUGAGUGAAGAAGGUUGUCGGAUCGUAAAACUCUGUUGGUAGAGAAGAACGUUGGUGAGAGUGGAAAGCUCAUCAAGUGACGGUAACUACCCAGAAAGGGACGGCUAACUACGUG
rnacentral:rRNA from 1 species